CCAUUUCUUUUCUAUAAAUACCCAAUUUUCCCCCAUUGUCAUUCAUUCAACCACUUCAUUACAUAGUUAGAAUCCCUUGUACGAAAUUUCUUUCUCAAUAAAAAUCCCUUUCAUUUUCUCUCAAUUUCAUUUUGAAUUUAUUCAACUCUCUACAAGAUUUUCAGCAUCCAUGGAGGGAUAAACACCCAUUGAGAAGUUAAGAUUCAAAGAAAAAAUCUAUUCCUCAUGGAUUCCUAGGGCUCGACCCCUUUCUUUCCACGUUCCUACAAUAUACCAAGGAGUAAGGGUAAAAGUACACUACUUUUUGACCAAGGUGGAAUUUGUGAGAAAAUACCUUCCCUAACCUUUUUAAUGCAACUUUUAGCUUACAUUCUAUAAUGUUAGUUCCAAAAUUGUUGCAUGGAUUCUUGUAAAAUGACCUCACAUAGCAUAUCUUUUUGCUCUAGUUUUCCUUCUGCCACUUAUUUUGUUUGCAAAGAUAUUUGUUUAGAUUGAAGCUCAUUGCAAGCUCAACCCUCCUUUCAGUAUCCUUAAAUUCAGGGGAGUUUCUUUGCUCCCUUUUAAUUUGUUCCCUUGCUUUUGAUCUUUACUCUCAUAUAUUAGAGACAAUGUAUGUUCUGAAAGUUGGGGUUGGUUCAGUUUAGCUUGCAAUUGAUUUAUGCAUAUUUGGUAGUCCUUGAGCAUCUGAGUUUGGACUUGUGUUCUUUGCUUCCUUUUUUGCUUUGUUGCUUGCGCUUGUUAGUAGAACCGUUGAUGACACACUCAUUUAGGAUCUUGAAUGUAUAAUAUAAUGUUGGAAGAAAAUAAACAUGAUUUGUGGACCGCUUUUAAAAAAAUUCUUCCAUCUUCCAUGCACACUUGAGUUCUUUAUCUGCCUAUCCUAAGUCUUUUGCAUGCUUAGUGUAGUGUUUUAGGACAUAGAUGUUUGUAGUCGCCCAGAUAGACCUUCUUGAGCAUUAAUUUAGUAAUGCAUACACAAGGAACUAACCAACCAAUUUUCUCACUUGUCCAAAAAAACAGAAAAAAAAAAGCUAGAGAACAAGAGAGUAAUAAAAGUGAUUCAGAAAAAAAGAAUAAAUUUAUGCAUUCCUAGCUGAACCCGCCAACAAACAAAUCUCGGCGAUGAGGAAAAACACCUUGAAACAGAUUAUUUCACAAGUAAACAAUAUCAUAGCAUCAUGCCAAUAUAAAAAAACACCUAUCUUAGUACAAGAAUUCUAUCUCAAACAUAUUAGUUUGCUCUACUUACCAGCAAGUUAUAAAAAGAACAACUGCCCAAGCCCUUGAACCGCCGGGACUCAAAGGCUUGCCGCAGAAAAAGCAACGGCUAGCCACCAUUAUUAGGAUCUGACUAGCCAAGAGAAAGAGAAAUACUUCUAACUCCUAAUCCAGUUGAAAUGUCUAAGUCAUAUGCACAAUAGUUUCUUUUUGCACCUGUGUCUUCAACUAUCUUUGCCUGUGAAACAAUUUCAAAUCAUGUUUUUCUUAACCAAUGAUGAAAAUAUCAGUAUCACUUUCAAACCAGAAGUAAGCUACUUGAGAUUCAAAGUUUACAGUGUAUCUGUAAGGAAUUAAAAUACUCAUCUCAAUUUGAUGAGCUUUCGGCAGCUUUUUAUGAAAGAAUAAUAUGAAGCCUUUAAAACAUUCAAAGUUUUCAGAGAUAAAUAUCUACCCCUUUGGAUAAUAGACAAGAAUGCAUAAGUACUUGAACUAACUUUUUACAAAAAGAAGACUACUAUUGAAUUUUUUCAAACCGUCCCACUGAAUUAUGAGCUUGGCUCUUCUUGUUGGGAGCACGUAAAGAAAGUAAGGAAAAAUAAUGGCUAUUGAGUCAAAACCAAACAAUGUGGGACCUAAGAGUAUCAGAUCUGCCUUGGAAGAAGAAUUUAUCUUUACAUUGGUCUCUAAGAUCCAUAGAUAUCUCCUUAAAGAAAGUUUGAGGAAUCUCAACCUCAGACCUGCAUAAUAUCGGAGCAACGGUUUAGCAUCCAUAGAUGAAAGAGUAAUCUUUCAAGAUUUGCAGAUCUCUCUUUGAAGAAGGUUUGUAGAAUCUUCUGCUCAGCGCAAAUAAUAUUGAUAUGAAGGUUAAGCAUCCUUACACGAAAAGAGUAAUCUUUCGAAACUUGUUACAUUGUAUCACCACCUCCCAUCUGUGUUACACAUUCAAUCCCAACAACAGGACAUUUCUAGUGAAGAAAUCAGAAUUUUCAAAGAUAUGGUACAAAAUGAUUGUUCACAAGAAAUUUUUCCAUAGUGAAGACAUCAUAUUUAGCUCAUUGAAAAGCCCUAAACUAAGUAAUUGCAAAGGUAUGAUACAAUCUGCAUUAUAUUUCAUCCUUCACAAUAAAUUUCUCUAAGAACAGAACAAAUUGGGGUUUAAAAACACCAAAGAAAGUAGAUUCAAGUGCUUUUCAAGACGAAACAAAAGGGUUUCUUUUGUUUGGCCACUAAGACAACGGGUGGGGAAGUUCUAAAUAUCUUUAACCUAAAAAACAAUUUUGAAGGGAACGAUUCUACCUUUUUUCUCUCUCUACAGCUAAAAAAACCCAUAUUGAAAAUCAAAUGAACUAAGCAAACCCAAAAGAAAAAGGCUAUAAAUCAGCAAGAUUUUCAAUUGAAGGCAGAAAAUUUCACUAGAAUAUGCAAGAAUGAAGAUAAAUAGCAUGUAGAGAGAGAAAAAGGGGGAAAGGGUAUGAGCUUACAAUGCUUCUCCUUUGCUCAGCUGCAAUGGCCAAGCCAAAAGCAAUGACAUCAAAAACAAAGACGGUGAAAAGUAGUAGCUUUGACGCCAUUGUUGAGCAGUUGAAGAGCUUUGCUCAUCUUCCAUUCUCUCUGCUCCGGCACUUUGCUCUGCCUCGGGCAUGCAACGGUGGGAGGAGAAAAGGAAACAAAUGCUUAUAAUUUUAUUAUUUAUAUUCAAUGACAUUUAAAAGUUGUCAUAGAUUUAUAACACUUCAAAAUUGUCAUAAAUUUUUCAAAUUCGAAAAAUUACAUUUUUUUUCCCGUAAAAAACGCGCUUUCUUUGCAUCUAUGAUAGUUUUUCACCCUCCAACCUCAAUUUGGCUAUACCCAACUAUCGUAGAAACUCAUAUUUCUUGGGGUGAAAGGAAAGCUUUGCUAUGCUUUCUUGGGGAUGCAAGUAGUCAAGGGCGGUGAAGUAAUCAAGAUUUUUUUGCGCAGAAAGGUUUCCAAGAAAUCAGCAAGCUUAGAGAGAAUAAAAGAGAAACAAAAUUCGUUAAGGGAAGAAGUUGGUUUUUCCUUAUUGCAUGUUGUUGUCACUUUGUGUUUGAAAGUAUUAUUUUCUAUCUUUCAAGUUAGAGUAGGGCUUUGCUUAAGCUUAAGUUAAAAUGACUUUGAACUCACUUAUGCCUGAAUAGUUUUGAAGAUGGCUUUUUAAAUUGUUUCAAUUGAUUGUUUACCUUGGAAUGCGUUGUUGAUUGCAUUCAUGAUAUUGAUAGACAGUUAAAACAUGAAUAUUGAGCCUUGUAACUUAGUAAACACAUUAUCUUGUGCUUGAUUGUAUGUUUCUAUCUUGUUUAGAACGAUCAAGAAUUAAGUUGGCAGUGAUAGAGUCAUAAAAGUGCUUGUUUUCUUAGCUUAAUUCAAGAUAAUUGGUGAAUCUAAUGGGCUUAAAUAUAUUAUUUUGUAAGUAUUGAGCAUCUAAGAGGUAGAACAAAGCUAAAGCAACUGAAAUCGUCCAAAUCGAAGCUCUAACAAAGCAAUUACGUCAAACUUAAGUAAAUACACACAAUUGUAUUGUACCCGAUAUCUUAGGCAGAAUCAUCAUAAAAAUAACCCAGGUUUGAGCGUUGAAGUGCUACAAAAGCAUGAACAAAGCACAGUUUGCCCUUCUAAAGUGCAGAUGUGCUCUUUCUGGUAUAAAAACUUGUUUUUGCCCAAUUUAGGUCAUUAGAAGUUCGUUUUGGACACAUAUCCACUUGCAUUCUUUCUGUAUUUUCUUCCUCCCAACCUUUAACUUCUUGUAUUUUCAUUUAUUUCAACAUUGUAAGCUUCAACUUAGAUUGAUCUUGUGGCUAAAAUGAAUUUUCUUGCUUAACGAUAGGUUUGAAACCCAUUGUAUUUGGUUCUGAUACUUUGAUUUAACUUGCUGAUAUUGUAUUGUUCUUGAA